UCCGAAUACAGCAAUCAUUUUAAGAUUUUGCAGCAGUGUUGGACCAUCAGGCUCCUUUUGGCCUCCUAUUCAUUGUAUACCAAAAGCUUCUUUUGAGUCACUUGGAUAAAUAAACUGUUUUUUUUAAGCGUUUCCAACAUGAGUGUGGAUAACACGACUCUGACUGAGACCAUAUUCUACGGCCACGUGCCCUGCGAUGGCUGGAGCAACAACACCGAGGGGGCCAUCUAUCACUUGGGCAACACCAUCCUGGUCCUGGGGUACAUGGGUGGCAGCGGGGCGUAUGGAUGCUUGUUCAUUUUUGGGUUCCUGUUCCCCUCCUUCCUGUGCCUGGCCCUGUGGGGCUGGCUGACCAUGUGUGGGUUGGAUGUCUUCACUUGGAACGUGCUUCUGCUCUCAGCCAGCCUGGCUCAGAUCUGCCACCUCAUCUACCGGCUUCAUGAGGAUGGCCUGCCCAGCGAGGAGCUCACCACCCUGUACCAGGCUGUGUAUCUGCCCCUGGGGGUGCCCAUCUGCGUAUUCAAGGAGAUUGCGGGUGCCUUUGAGAACACAGUGGUGGAGCUCAAGGCGGGAGAGACGUAUGCUGUUGAAGGCAAGACACCCAUUGACCAGCUCUCCUUUCUACUGUCUGGGAGGAUCAAUGUGUCUCUGGAAGGCCAGUUCCUACAUUACAUCCACUGCCACCAGUUUUUGGACUCUCCUGAGUGGGAGUCUCUCAGGCCAAACGAGGAAGGAAACUUUCAGGUGACCCUGACGGCAGAGGAGGACUCGCGCUAUGUCUCGUGGCGUCGCCAGCGGCUCUACAUCCUGCUGUCGAAGGAGCGCUACAUUGCCCGCCUCUUCUCUGUCAUGCUAGGCUACGACAUUGCCGAAAAACUCUACACCCUCAAUAACAAACUAUUCAUCAAGAGCGGCGUACGCCUGGACAUCCGCCUGCCCAGCCUGUACCAUGUGUUGGCCCCCACCUCACAGGGCAGUGAGGGUGCUAGUAGUAAUUAUAAGGAUCACGCCACGCCGGGGGAGGGUCCAAAUCAGCAGCAGGGGUCGGCUGGGGAAGAUCCAACCUCGGCUGGCCAGCAUUCGGCCCCGCCCCAGCCUCUUCAACCCCACCAGCAGGGACCAAAGAAAGUAGCCAAAGCCGAUCCGCAGGCCCCCCAGCCAAACCACCGCCCACCCUGGGCCUCAGAUAUAGAGUUCCCCUCCGGUGAGGACUCCACCAGCCUGGUCCUGGAGGACUUUGCUGAUGUGGCGGGCUCCUUAAUGGAUUAUGGGAGUGAGAGGGAUUAUUUGAGGUAGAGGGAGCAGGGGGCCGGAGCUAACACACUGGGUCAGCACUUAAGCUAUGUGAGGUGAUAACAAUGGGAGUGUACCACCCCGAUUCCAGAGGGGCAGGGCUCCGCUUGCACCUACGGACACCCCCAGGCUGUGAGAAUGGUCUCCUCUGAAGCGCUCCCUUUGUUUGGAAUGAACCCACAGCAGGUCCACCUAUUGGACUCCUAAACUCACACAUCCUUGCCCCUAAAUCCUCCCCCCCUAAAAAAAAAAGCCUAGGAGGAAGAGAACGGAGGAGACAACAUAAAAUCACUGCUGGACAGGGAGAAUUCAGGAAAAAGCAUGUUAGUGUUAUGUCCUGCCUGUAUGGCAUUUGCACUGUGGGCCUACAGGAGAAGUCCUCUUGGGGCUGCGUUCAAUGUGCUCACCUCUUCUCCUGACUGGCAGUGAUGGCAUUGCCACUUCCUCCCUUUUGAUUAUUUCCAGUUGUUGGUAUUUACAGGUAUGCUCUGCCUGUCCUUCCUGGGUGUUUAGAUCCUAAUCAAUUUUACUC